GUUUUUGUAGGAAAGAAUUUGUCCCGACCCACGGGUUAGUCAGCGAGGACCCUAGAGGGGAAGUGGGGAUGAGAAGGGACAGGAGACACAAGAAAUGGAGACAAGACAAGUUCUGAUCAAGUCUCGUUUAUUUAGGGGAGGUGCUGGGUAUAUAAAGGGUGUAGGAAUGAAG